AUUGAACGCUGGCGGCAGGCCUAACACAUGCAAGUCGAACGAGUGGCGGACGGGUGAGUAAUGUCUGGGAAACUGCCCGAUGGAGGGGGAUAACUACUGGAAACGGUGGCUAAUACCGCAUACCAUCGGAUGUGCCCAGAUGGGAUUAGCUAGUAGGUGGGGUAAAGGCUCACCUAGGCGACGAUCUCUAGCUGGUCUGAGAGGAUGACCAGCCACACUGGAACUGAGACACGGUCCAGACUCCUACGGGAGGCAGCAGUGGGGAAUAUUGCACAAUGGGCGCAAGCCUGAUGCAGCCAUGCCGCGUGUAUGAAGUAGGCCUUCGGGUUGUAAAGUACUUUCAGCGAGGAGGCGUUACUCGCAGAAGAAGCACCGGCUAACUCCGUGCCAGCAGCCGCGGUAAUUC
rnacentral:rRNA from 1 species